UCUGCUCAAAUUUGUUUUUAAAUUGCUGUGGUAUUUUGACUAUACAAAGGUAUUGAAAUAAGAUUUUAAUUGAAUGCUAAGAGAAUGGAAUUUCAGAAAAAAACUUUUUUCAAGUUAAAAAUUGAAAUUUUUUUAAUUUGUGCAGAAACAAUUAUUAAUAUUAAGGACAAGAAGACCCUAUGAAUUUAUAAAUUUUAUUUAAUAUGUAACUACUAUUAAAAAAAUUUUAGCUGGGGCGGCGGAAAAAUAUUUAAAACUUUUUUAAAAUAAAAUGACCCAUUAUUAAUGAUUAUAUGUUAAAUACUCUAGGGAAAACAGCGUAAA
rnacentral:rRNA from 1 species